rnacentral:tRNA from 1 species
GCCCUGAUNGUAUAAACAUUACACUGGUCUUGUAAACCAG